rnacentral:rRNA from 1 species
CUACGAUCCGUAACUGGUCUGAGAGGAUGAUCAGUCACACUGGAACUGAGACACGGUCAGACUCCUACGGGAGGCAGCAGUGGGGAAUAUUGGACAAUGGGCGAAAGCCUGAUCCAGCCAUGCCGCGUGUGUGAAGAAGGUCUUCGGAUUGUAAAGCACUUUAAGUUGGGAGGAAGGGCAGUUACCUAAUACGUGAUUGUCUUGACGUUACCGACAGAAUAAGCACCGGCUAACUCUGUGCCAGCAGCCGCGGUAAUACAGAGGGUGCAAGCGUUAAUCGGAAUUCUUGGGCGUAAAGCGCGCGUAGGUGGUUUGUUAAGUUGAAUGUGAAAUCCCCGGGCUCAACCUGGGAACUGCA